rnacentral:rRNA from 1 species
AAGAGACCCUUGGAGCUCCUACACAUGGACCUCUUCGGGCCUCCAUCCUUUGACAGUCUUGGGGGUAGAAAGUAUUGCUUGGUGAUUGUGGAUGAUUAUUCAAGAUACACUUGGGUAUACUUCUUCAAGAGGAAGAGUGAGACUCAACAAACCGUCAUUGACUUUGGAAAUGAAGCUCAAUGUCAACAUAAUGCAAAGAUUCUGACAAUAAGAAGUGACAAUGGCACCGAGUUCAAGAACUACACCUUGGAUGAGUUUCUUAGUGAUGAAGGGAUCAAGCAUCAAUAUUCUGCAUCAUAUACCCCUCAACAAAAUGGUGUUGCAGAGAGGAAGAACCGGACGUUGCUGGAUGCGGCAAGGACCAUGAUGGUGGAGUUCAAGUCUCCAUACAACUUUUGGGCCGAAGCCAUCAACACAGCUUGUCAUGCAUCCAAUCGGCUCUAUCUCCGCAAAGGCUUGAACAAGACUCCGUAUGAGAUACUCACCGGGAACAAGCCCAAUCUCAAGUACUUCCGGGUGUUCGGGUGUAAGUGUUUCAUUCUCAAGAAAGGUGUUCGUUUGUCUAAAUUCGAGGCUAGAGCUCAUGAGGGC